AGUUGAGACCUAAGUUCCUUUAAUCAAGUUCUUUGGAAUCCCUAUUUUCAGAGACAUAAGCUAUUCAUCCCUUGUUCUUAAGAGAUUUAUUCAGUUCUUAAUACAGUGAAGAGAUCCCUUCUUACUCUUAUCUUAUUUGUUGUGCUUAUGCUUUCUUACUCAAUUAUGUUGUUUGUUUCAUUCAAUAUGUCUGCGUAGUUUGCUUCUUAGGAAUAGGGUUUCUCAUUAGGGAUUCAUAUGGUUUAGUAGAUCGCUCCCUUUGCUAGGUUAUCUGUAGAAUUCUUCAUCUUUGAUUAUACUUAAUGUUAGAUGUAGAGUAAUUAACUAGAUUUUGAAUCUAGACAAUAGAUAUGCCCACCAUAGGUAUCUGUAGUUGGAUUUAUUAUUUGAUGAACCUGGUUCAUAGGUGAGUAAUAAGAA
rnacentral:sRNA from 1 species